rnacentral:rRNA from 1 species
AUGAACGCUGGCGGCGUGCCUCAUACAUGCUAGUCGAGCGAACAGACGAGGAGCUUGCUCCUCUGACGUUAGCGGCGGACGGGUGAGUAACACGUGGAUAACCUACCUAUAAGACUGGGAUAACUUCGGGAAACCGGAGCUAAUACCGGAUAAUAUAUUGAACCGCAUGGUUCAAUAGUGAAAGACGGUUUUGCUGUCACUUAUAGAUGGAUCCGCGCCGCAUUAGCUAGUUGGUAAGGUAACGGCUUACCAAGGCAACGAUGCGUAGCCGACCUGAGAGGGUGAUCGGCCACACUGGAACUGAGACACGGUCCAGACUCCUACGGGAGGCAGCAGUAGGGAAUCUUCCGCAAUGGGCGAAAGCUUGACGGAGCAACGCCGCGUGAGUGAUGAAGGUCUUCGGAUCGUAAAACUCUGUUAUUAGGGAAGAACAAAUGUGUAAGUAACUAUGCACGUCUUGACGGUACCUAAUCAGAAAGCCACGGCUAACUACGUG